rnacentral:rRNA from 2 species
UGAGGAAUAUUGGUCAAUGGGCGAGAGCCUGAACCAGCCAAGUCGCGUGAGGGAAGACGGUACUAAGUAUUGUAAACCUCUUUUGUCAGGGAACAAAGAGACCACGCGUGGUAAGAUGAGUGUACCUGAAGAAAAAGCAUCGGCUAACUCCGUGCCAGCAGCCGCGGUAAUACGGAGGAUGCGAGCGUUAUCCGGAUUUAUUGGGUUUAAAGGGUGCGUAGGCGGUAUAGCAAGUCAGCGGUUAAAUGUCGGGGCUCAACCUCGGCCUGCCGUUGAAACUGUUGUACUAGAGAGAAUGAGAAGUAUGCGGAAUGCGUGGUGUAGCGGUGAAAUGCUUAGAUAUCACGCAGAACUCCGAUUGCGAAGGCAGCAUGCCGGCAUUUAUCUGACGCUGAGGCACGAAAGCGUGGGGAUCGAACAGG